rnacentral:tRNA from 1 species
GCGCCCGUAGCUCAGUGGAUAGAGCGCACGCCUCCGGAGCGUGAGGUCGAAGGUUCGAAUCCUUCCGGGCGCG